CUAUGCCCAGUGUGGCAUGCAGUCUCUCCUUAUGCCGCCUGUGGAGUAGCAUGUAGAACAUUCAGCUCCUUCUACAGCACCGUGUCUGCCUGCAUGCUGCCAUGUCCUGCCAUGAUGACACUGUACUAAACCUCUGAAACCUGUUCAUUUUCAGAAUCAAUCAUUUUGCAGUCACCUAGAGAACUCACGACACUGAACUUUGAGAGCACAUUACCGUAAACCCUCGUCAUGACUUCCAGCUACCACAGUCCCGUCCACCUAAGGAGUCCACACCGGCCAGUGAAAUAUAAGUGGGCUUCACCAGUUCGAGACCUGAGAAGGCUUUCCAAAGCCUCUGGCACAGCCAGCACUCCUCACUUCAUCGUACUCUUUGCCCUUUUUGAGCUCGGUCUGAAACACAGACACCAGGGCUGGAGCUACAGAGCCGAGUUUCAGUAAAGUGGAUGAAUGGCAGUCUUAGAACAGAGACAGAAAGGCCUGGAAGCACCAUGGGCAUCCACCCCGCCCUCUACUCGGAACCGUGAGGCAGGUCAUCUACUACUCGUUUCAGCCCCUGGGUCACAUCCCUCUUGUUUGCUGCCAAACACAGAAACAACACGGGGUAACAACAAAUGCGUCACCUUCUCAAGACCACCUCAGCCCUACAACACGGAGCCUAGACAGCCUUCUUUGUUUAGAAGUGGCCGCUACACUUAAAAUACAUUCAUAUUUACACCAAGAGAAACACAUUUUCAGUCCUUUCAGAAGCCGGAAGUACUCUGCUCCCGCCAUCCACAUAGUAAGAGAGACAGGGAAGCAGCAAGAGAGAUGUGGAUUCAAAGAGGUGGCUUUUUCUCAAGACACAUCUGUCCACCAGCGGCAACAGUGUGGUAAGGAGGGAGAGGCUGACCACUGAGAAGAGACAGCAAAACAAAAGGACCACAUCCCCAGGAAGGCAACAGGAUCCUGAGCCAAGGGCACAGCAGAAAUUGGCCUUUUGGAGAAGGAAGACCAGCUCCUCUAUUCCAAAAGACAGAGGUCCAGCUCUGUGUCUAGAUGUGAUAUCAAGAUCAUGCAGAGAAGUGUCAGGACCCUGUUCUCAUAUCAUAUCCAAGUCCAUCCCUACGGUGUCUCCAUACACCUCAGCAUCUUUGCUUGGUAAUGGCAAAAGUCUUUCGCAGAGCAUCAAAACUGAGCCAGCUUGGGAAAUCCAGGGAAUGAAGAUAGCACGUGGCCAUGGAGAGAAGUAAAGGUUGUACAGUGUAUCGGAAGACCCUGGAUGUCCCGUGGCACUUCACGACUUCCUGUGAGUCUUCAAGGCUGGAGGCUGAAACAGGAAUCUCAAUGCUGCCCUCCACAGCAGUGUAUCAAUUGUGUGGAUGCACUCAUGCUCUAGCGUGCAGGGAGCAGAAGACAGUCUGUGGAGUUGGGCUUUCUCCCACCAUGGCUUUAUCAUGGAGCUCAGGCUGGCUUUGAACUUAUUGACCUUCCUGUUUCAGCUCCCCAAGUGCUGAGAUCACAGGCCAGUGACACCACUACAUAUUUGACUUUGAGGUUAAAAUAAAACGAGAGACU